UCCUGUCCUAACUCGACCAUCCUAGCCUGCGCAUGUCGUCGAAUCGUCGGAUUCCAUCCCCCAUGGCGCUUCCAUUUCCUCGCCAUUCCACGUCACCAGCUUCGUUCCAAUUCACUGGCCAUCUUUCUCUCCACGUCAUAGUUCUAUUAAGGGAAACGAUGUUGCUUGAGUAUUGGUCAGGAUGUGUGUAGAGAUGAGCUUGAAGAUGGGACUGUGGAUAGGGAAGAUAGUGAAGUUCCGUAUGUCACUCAUCAGAUGUUCGACGAAAACCCCAAACCAAAAAUCAUCGGUGUUCUUGCAAAUUUGAGCCGAGUAUAGUUCGGGAGAAGUCUAUGGAUGUCAAUUGGUGAAGAAGUGAGGCCCAUGUGCAUCGCUUAUCAAGUGCUCGGUCGAAGACUUCAAUCGAAGGUCGUCAUCGUUCGUGUGAUGAUCGAGUCAAAUUGCAAUAUGGUACGAUAAUUAAUCACGUGAUGCGGAGGAUCAUAACUGAGUCGACCACAAGAUGCUGGAAAGCGUGAGCCAUUCGCAAGAUGAUGCUGAUGAACGAAACUGAAGAUGGACACACAAAGCAAGUAUCGGAACAAAAGCUGAUCGCCAAGUGGACGUCACCUAACAAACACUAAUGUAGUGUUUAUUCUAGGCAAGCCCCGAUGCAUUUGCCACCUCCUUGCUGUUUUAAAAUUUUUAUCACCUUGAAUGAUGCAUUAGGUAAUAGGAGUUGUGUGAUUAAACAAUUGAUGCAUUUCCUUCCUUGAUUAAACAACCCUAAUACCUAUUUUAUGAAAAUUUAGUGAUGCUUAGCCCUGCUUAUUAAUUUAGGAUGGUUUUUAAAAGAUGAUGUGUAACACGGGAUAUGGGAGUUUGUGAAAUAAAAGGACUUGUGAUGAUGAACCCAUUGUCGCCAUGAUGGUUUCAUCAUUCAAGUAGGGUAUCUCUCUCAGGUAUCAAGUUUUGGGAAAUAAUAUGUAAUGUAGACCAGACGUUGAGCAAGAAAGUUUGCCCGUCUGUGUCUAUUAAGGACCGUUCGAUGUAGGCCUGUUGUGGUGGAGACUUUGCAAUUAUCCACAUGCUCCGAUAAGCCUGAACCCGGCUAUUCCAUACGUGAAAAGACAACCGCGCACUGGGC
rnacentral:lncRNA from 1 species